AUUGAACGCUGGCGGCACGCUUUACACAUGCAAGUCGAACGGCAGCACGGACUUCGGUCUGGUGGCGAGUGGCGAACGGGUGAGUAAUACAUCGGAACGUGCCCAGUUGUGGGGGAUAACUACUCGAAAGAGUAGCUAAUACCGCAUGAGAACUGAGGUUGAAAGCAGGGGAUCGCAAGACCUUGCGCAACUGGAGCGGCCGAUGGCAGAUUAGGUAGUUGGUGGGAUAAAAGCUUACCAAGCCGACGAUCUGUAGCUGGUCUGAGAGGACGACCAGCCACACUGGGACUGAGACACGGCCCAGACUCCUACGGGAGGCAGCAGUGGGGAAUUUUGGACAAUGGGCGAAAGCCUGAUCCAGCAAUGCCGCGUGCAGGAUGAAGGCCUUCGGGUUGUAAACUGCUUUUGUACGGAACGAAAAGCUUCGGGUUAAUACCCUGGAGUCAUGACGGUACCGUAAGAAUAAGCACCGGCUAACUACGUGCCAGCAGCCGCCGUAACAC
rnacentral:rRNA from 1 species